CAGUAGCCGCGGUAAGACAGAGGAUGCAAGCGUUAUCCGGAAUGAUUGGGCGUAAAGCGUCUGUAGGUGGUUGUUUAAGUCUGUCGUGAAAGCCCUGGGCUCAACCUGGGAAUUGCGAUGGAUACUGGGCGACUAGAGUGCGGUAGAGGAUAGUGGAAUUUCCGGUGUAGCAGUGAAAUGCGUAGAGAUCGGAAGGAACAUCUGUGGCGAAGGCGACUAUCUGGGCCAACACUGACACUGAGACACGAAAGCGUGGGGAGCAAACAGGAUUAGAUACCCCAGUAGUCCCUGUCUCUUAUAC
rnacentral:rRNA from 1 species